UCAUUUCAUUAAUUAGUUAUUAAUUAAACAAGCUAUUUAAGCUAGUUACAUCGUUGAAUAAUAUCAUCACCAUCAUCAUUAUUAUAAAUUCGGCAUGCCGGGGGCCGGGCUUAUUGGAUUAUUUCUAAAAUUAACCGGUGGCUACUGGAUCAAUAAUGAACCGUUGUUCGUUUAUUCAAUUAAUAAUUCCAGGGAAGCAUAUAAUUAUAUUAUUUUGAUAUAUAUUUGAUGGUAGUUAUAGUAUCAAUUGUUGGUUGAGAUUGGUGUAGUUUCAAUACUAUCUUGAUUGUAUUUGUAUUGUU